rnacentral:rRNA from 1 species
GAUGAACGCUAGCGGCAGGCCUAACACAUGCAAGUCGAGGGGUAACUAGAGUGAUAGCAAUAUUACUUUGGCUAGACCGGCGCACGGGUGCGUAACACGUAUGCAACCUACCUUAUACUGGGGAAUAACUUCGAGAAAUCGGCGCUAAUACCCACUAACAUUGCGAAGAGGCAUCUCUUUGCAAUUAAAGCUCCGGCGGUAUAAGAUGGGCAUGCGUCCAAUUAGCUAGUUGGUGAGGUAACGGCUCACCACGGCGACGAUUGGUAGGGGUUCUGAGAGGAUGAUCCCCCGCACUGGUACUGAGACACGGACCGGACUCCUACGGGAGGCAGCAGUGAGGAAUAUUGGACAAUGGGCGCAAGCCUGAUCCAGCCAUGCCGCGUGCAGGAUGACGGUCGUAUGGAUUGUAAACUGCUUUUGUACAGGAAGAAACACUCCCUCGUGAGGGAGCUUGACGGUACUGUAAGAAUAAGGAUCGGCUAACUCCGUGCCAGCCGCCGCGGUAA